rnacentral:lncRNA from 1 species
UUUGUUUUUUGUUGUUUUUUUUUUUUUUAAUUUAAAUUUUAAAAUUUAUUGUUUUUAAGCAGAAAAAAAGGUUCCAGUAAAGAAAGUCUCCAAAAAGGUGGUUAAAAAAGGUCCUGAAGAAGUCCCACCACCUAAAGUUCCUGAGGUGCUGCCAGAGAAGCCCAAAGAGAUCAAAAUAACAUCCAUGGCAAGGAGAGAAGAGAUUUAUGAAGAAAAGAAGGAAAUAUAUGAAAAGCCCAAAGAAAUUUAUGAAGAAUGGGAAGAAGAUUAUGGCGAAGACCAUGACUAUUAUGUCAAGGAAGAAGGCUAUGAUGAAGGGGAAGAGGAAUGGGAAGAAGCUUAUGAGAAAAGAGAAGUGAGCUAUGAAGAGAAACGAGUCAUUCAUGAAGAAGUGGUUGAAGUUCCUAAGAAGCCUGUGCCUGAGCGAAAACCACCAACAAUUACAGCUGAAAAGAAGGAAAAGAAAGAAGUAACAGUUCGUAAAGUUGUCAAGAAACCUGUUGAUGAAAAAGUGGAGAUAACCACUCAGAGGGUUGGUGAAGAAAAAGUCAAACGGGCUGAGGUUACCAAGAAAGUUGUACCACCAAAACCUACACCAAUGAUCAUUGAGGAAAAAGUUGUGAAAAAGGAAGAGCCAACAGAGCAUGAGAAAACAGUUGAAGAAAGAUUCUUUGAAGCUGUUUACCCAAUUGAAGGUAGAUUGAUUAAGAAUGAGAGGCUAAUCAGUAUUUAAGUUUUUUAAACAACUUUAAUCUGCAGUUAACUAAAACUCAUUG